UACGUAGGUGGCAAGCGUUGUCCGGAAUUAUUGGGCGUAAAGCGCGUGUAGGCGGCUCAGUCAGUCUGGUGUGAAACCUUGGGGCUCAACCCCAAGCCUGCACUGGAUACUGCUGAGCUUGAGUCCGGGAGGGGAGAGCGGAAUUCCUAGUGUAGCGGUGAAAUGCGCAGAUAUUAGGAAGAACACCGGUGGCGAAGGCGGCUCUCUGGAACGGUACUGACGCUGAGACGCGAAAGCGUGGGGAGCGAACAGG
rnacentral:rRNA from 1 species